AAACUGGUGGCAAGGAGGACUGCGAGUGGCUAAACUUUGGGAAUGUUGGCCUAGUCUUAAUUGAAAAAGGAGAGAUCACUGAGAAAGAGCUGGGGCUAUGUUUCUCUGAUAUGUGGAAAACUAACUGGCCCUGGCAGAUCAGAAGAUAUGAUGAGAAAAAAAUCAUUGUCAGGUUUCCCCCCAACAAGAAGAUCAAGGAUUUGGUGGAAUACCCUUCCAUUAACCUGAAGAAAGAAGGAGUGACUAUAUCCUUCAGUGAUUGGAAUGGAGAAAUGCCAGCUUAUGGCACUUUGGGGGAAACAUGGAUUGUGAUUGAAGGACUACCUCCCAAAUGGAUAUCCUGGAACAUUAUCUCUCAAAUAUAUACUAUGCUGGGGUCCUUGUUAAUGUUGAUUGGCACACUAUCUUCAGGAGCUUCUAUGAGAAGGUGAGGAUCCAGGUAGCUGUCAGAGACCCUGCUAAGAUUCCUAGAGACAGGAUGGUGGAGAUACACCAUGAACUAUAUUUGCUGCAGUUUACUGUGGAGUCUGAGGCUGUGAGUGGUCAUGAGUCAGAUAAUCCUCCAGGCCCUGAUGAUAACAAUCCCUCUCAAAACAAGCAUACUAAAGAAGAAUUUGAUUCAAGUGGUGAUGAUUUACUUGGAGAAGAUAUGGACACCGGAAAUAGCAACAACAAUGCCAAAGACAAGCAUCAAACCACUAGAUCCAAUGGAGCCAGGACUAUGCAGAAGUGCUCUACACCUGCUCCCAGAGCUAAUGAAGAAAUAAUAGUCUCCUCCAAAUUCCUGGGAUGCACCUAUGACCAAAAGCUACCUUGAGGCAGUGAAGAAGAGACACAAUGAUACCAUGGGCACCCCCUCCUGGAUCAAUUUGAAGCUGCUGCUCACAAGCCUGUUUCUCAGAAGUGCACUAGUACUCAACAGAAGUGGGGCCCUGUGGUGGCCUCCAGAGUUCGCACCAGGAACAAGAGAGAUGACAGGCCAGCUCUUCAAAAAGCCCAGGAGUUGAAGCAAAUUAAAAACCUGGAAAAACCUACUAUAAGAAAAGGAGACCUGGAAGAAAUCUGGAGGAAAGAAGAAAUCAAGGCCAGGCAGAGAUCCAGAGAGAGAGACAUACUGGAAGGGGACUUAAAUGCUGGAUAUUUUAAAGCUGUGGCUAAUCAAAAGAGGAGAAAGAAGCAGAUCAUGGCGCUGGAAGGAAGUGAAGGUGCUGUGGAGGAAAACUGCUACUAUACUAGGCAGUUGGGUGGUUCGAUGCUCUGGCCCUGUCAAAGAAAGAGUGAUACACUUGGUGAAAAAGCUGGUGCAGGAAGCGCGAGCCCCCCCCCCCCCCCCCCUCCUGAUGUGGUCAGAGCCUGGCUAGGCCUUCUGCAGUGCUUGGAGGUGCUGCACGAACCGUGACACCGGCUGAGAUCUGGGUGGUCCUCUGCCCCAGUUUACCUUUCUCUGCCGGUUGUUAGUGUCUUUGAGACUAGCUCUAGCUCCUGAUACUUUUAGUAGUUUAAUAUUUGGCGCUCUGCCUGUUGAGGCUGAGACAUCUCUUUUGCUGGGGCAGCGUGUGUGCUGUUUUAUCCCCCCGCGUGCUUGUAAACAGGAUAUGAUUAUCUGUGGUUUCAUUUGGUAAUACAAGUGGAGCCGGGGCUGA